AUGAGGAUGAGAACCUCCGGGGGCAGGGAGGUUCGACUCGAGCGAAGCGAGAGAACGUUGCGCCAGCAACGGCCCGCAGGGCGAGCCACGAAGUGGCGAGUAAUCCUCUGGCACCGACCA
rnacentral:sRNA from 1 species